CCAAAAGUAACUCUUCCUCUCUUUUUUUAAAUUGACUCGUCGCUCAUUAAAAAAUAUAUAUUGAUUUUCCAAGUUAGGAAUUUCUAACUUGGAUAAAGAAAUUCAAUUAUGUAUCAUUCGUUGGUUUAAUGAUUUAUUGAAACGACGAGUGUGGUUUCUCAGCAGUUUAUGAAAUUCAGAAGGAUGAUGUCUUUGAUCAUUCACUUAUGUUUUACUUGGUGCUUCAUAUGAAUCAGGAAGUUGCUUAUAUAUUCUUCUUCUUUUUCCUUUUGUAUCUUGGCAGGGUGCAUAUCAGUCGAAAAUCUUAACUUUUUACAUUCAAUAUUUAUUUUUGUUUUGAUGAAGCCACCACAAACUGUUACUGUCUUUUCACAAUUGGAAAUCGAUUAGUAACAUCAAGGCAAGUUUUUAUUGUUGUAUGUUAUGUUGUUUCCGAAUUCCAAGUAAUUUGAUAAUGUGAUAUAUGCCUUAAUUCACGACUCCAAAGCAUAUUCCUACUCCAUAGCUGUUAUGAUUGAUCUUAAUAUUUCCUCUUCCAUCCACCUUCUAAAAUCCUUGGAAUUAAAGUGAUUUAAUUGGAUCAUCCUCAACUUCGAAGACAAUAGGACCAAUGCACGAUCUGAUGAAUCAAACUCGAUCUUUAUACAUUUUUACAAUAUGAAUUCAACGAAAAUCUAGUCUCUAAAAUUCUAAUACAUACAGUUUAGACUGCAGAAAUAGGUUAAUCUAACCACAUUGUUUGAGAAUCGAAAACGAUUCUUAGUGCAUUUUCUGUCUAUCAAUUGUUUCAGGUACCCACUCUGAAGUUAAUUUACAUCGUUUUUACAUUCUAUGGGUUAGUUUCUUACAAGUUCAAAACACAAAAACCUCUCUUUUGUUUUAGCUUACUCUUCUCUCGCAUAAUCGUAAUGUAACCUUGAUUUUUCGUGGAUUCGCUAUGCGUUUACGGUCUGAAUAAAUUAGUGGUUAAAUCUGAAGGGCGCCCCUCUCUCGCGGUUAUUAUGGCAACUGAAAUGUCUUCCCACCUAUCAUGACUGCUUGGGACCGUUCUCGUUCCGUUGUCAUAUUGUACUGACGUAUCGACGACAGUUUCUUUCGGUCCUAAGUUUCAAAAUCUUUGUCGUCUAAUCUUUUCUUAGUGGUUGUUUAGUAUGAUAUUUGUUUUUCUUCGUCGUUUUUACUAUUACUAAUUUUCUUGUACCUUCUUUAAUAAAUUUAAAAUAAUAUAAUUUAUAUAUAUAUAUAUAUAUAUAUUUGUUAAAAAAGUGUUAUGUAGAAGUAUUUUGGCCUAGUAUUCAAGGUUCAAAGGCUUUUACACCAUGUCUAUGGUUCUAUAUAUAGAAACUACAUCGUGAAAUUUUCCUUGAAAUUAUUCAUCAAUACUGCAUAUAUUUUGACUCAUGUAUGACUACAAGCUGACCAAGCAUAUGGUUAGAGCCGUGAUGUGUAUAAUUAUUAUAAAUGCCAAAUAUUUUCACCAAAGUGUAAUUAGUUCUAUCGGUGUUUGUCCAGUUCUAUAUUGUAAACGGCCGUGAGUUUAACUCUUUCAAACUCAUUGCCACAUAAAUUUUAAUUUUUUUUCAAAAUAAAUAAUUGGAGAGCCAAAAAUAUAUUUUGUGCUUGGGGACUCACGAAAUUCAGGCACGACCAUGAAUAUAUUGCAGGUAGUUUAUUAUCAUUUAUAGUAGAGAUUAUAUAAUGAUACAAUCCAGUGUUAGAAAAAAAUAAAGAGUGUCAUGUUUGCUAUGGUUGACAAAAUCAUACAUAAUUAUGACGCGUAUUAUGAACUCCAAAAUUAGCGAAGUGUAAAAGAUUAUGACCAAUCCAACAACUAACCGUACUAUGGGCCCUUGCGAUACCAAUUUGUGCUUAUCCAUUUGACAUCUAUUUUUUUUAGACAUCUUUUCAUAUUAUUGAAUUGACUUUUUAAAGAUAAAUCUAACUUCUUGUUUUCUUGUGGAUUGUUAACACGUAGCAUUUACUUACAAGUACACCCCACCUUGCAUGCAUCCUAUAAAUAGGGGUUCUGCAUGGGACACUAUACUCACCAGCUCCUUCUUCGCUAUUACUUUUGGAUAGAUCAUUGGUGUUUUGAGAGAUUGCUUACGAUGGCUUCUAAAUCUUUGCUUCUCUUAAGUCUCAUUGUUGUUAUCCUCAUUGCCUCUGAGGUGGCAGCCAGGGACCUAGCUGAUAGCUCGGCAGAAAAUAAGAACAAUGGUAUGUAGAAAUGUCAUUAUACCCUAAGAAAAUUAUUAUUUUUGAAUACGUAUGAUCGGAACAAGCAUGUAAGGCCAUUUGAAUAUUCAUGAAAGUUGAAGUCACUUUAGAAGUUUGAUUUGUCAUACCUUUCACCUUCUUAUCUCCAGCAUGUAGAAACUUUUCUUUGAAUUAGAAAAACCUAUUUCGAACCCUUCCGAAAAUUUUGGUGUGCUUCAAGACGAGUGAGUCAAAAGUGAUCAGAAAUCACUAUUGCCUUGUUUCUUCUUUUUUUCACCAAUCACUCAUGUUUAUUCAGUAAUUUGUAAAAUAAGUACGAGUUCCCCU
rnacentral:lncRNA from 1 species